rnacentral:rRNA from 1 species
AGAUUGAACGCUGGCGGCAUGCCUUACACAUGCAAGUCGAACGGCAGCACGGGAGCAAUCCUGGUGGCGAGUGGCGAACGGGUGAGUAAUACAUCGGAACGUGCCCAGUUGUGGGGGAUAGCCCGGCGAAAGCCGGAUUAAUACCGCAUACGACCUACGGGUGAAAGCGGGGGAUCGCAAGACCUCGCGCUAUUGGAGCGGCCGAUGUCGGAUUAGCUUGUUGGUAGGGUAAAAGCCUACCAAGGCUACGAUCCGUAGCUGGUCUGAGAGGACGACCAGCCACACUGGGACUGGGACACGGCCCAGACUCCUACGGGAGGCAGCAGUGGGAAUUUGGACAAUGGGGAAACCUGAUCCAGCCAUCCCGCGUGUGCGAUGAAGGCCUUCGGUGUAAAGCACUUUGGCAGGAAGAAGCGCACCGUAAUACGGGCGUCGACGUGACGUACCUGCGAGAAUAAGACACCGGACUAACUACGUAGCCACGCGAGCCGC